rnacentral:rRNA from 1 species
UCCAGACUCCUACGGGAGGCAGCAGUGGGGAAUAUUGCACAAUGGGGGGAACCCUGAUGCAGCGACGCCGCGUGGGCGAGGAAGUAUUUCGGUAUGUAAAGCCCUAUCGGCAGGGAAGAAGAAAUGACGGUACCUGAAUAAGAAGCACCGGCUAAAUACGUGCCAGCAGCCGCGGGAAUACGUAUGGUGCAAGCGUUAUCCGGAUUUACUGGGUGUAAAGGGAGCGUAGGCGGUUUAGCAAGUCAGAAGUGAAAGCCCGGGGCUCAACUCCGGGACUGCUCUUGGAACUGCGCGGCUGGAGUGCAGGAGGGGCAGGCGGAAUUCCUGGUGUAGCGGUGAAAUGCGUAGAUAUCAGGAGGAACACCGGUGGCGAAGGCGGCCUGCUGGACUGCGACUGACGUUGAGGCCCGAAAGCGUGGGGAGCAAACAGGAUUAGAUACCCCUGUAAC